rnacentral:lncRNA from 1 species
UGUUCUCUUCUUCCUACUCCUCGCCGCCGCUGCCACCGUCAACGCCACCGACCACAUCGUCGGAGCUAACAAAGGCUGGAACCCUGGCAUCAAUUACACCCUUUGGGCGAACAACCAAACCUUCUACGUUGGUGACUAUAUCUGUACGUAUUAUACACUUUGCAGUACAUAUUUUGCGUCUUUGUUACUACUUUUCUAACUUCUCUGUCCAUCUCUCUUUUUUAUUACAGCGUUUAGGUAUCAGAAGUCACAGUACAAUGUGUUUUUAGUGAACAAGACUGGAUAUGAUAACUGCACAAUAGAAGGUGCUUUUGGGAAUUGGACCGGCGGAAAAGACUUUAUUAUGCUGAACAAGACCCAGAGGUAUUACUUCAUUUGUGGCACUGGCGGUUGCUUUAACGGAAUGAAGGUUUCGGUGGUUGUUCAUCCUCUUCCAUCUCCUCCGAAGUCAGCCAUUUCUGCUGAGCAUUCCUCCAAAAAAUCUACUGCUCCGGUGGCGGCGUGCGGUUUUGGGUCACUAUUAGCCAUCAGCUUCGCCUUUUUUGGAUUGACAUUUUCCGUUUGGAUCUAGCAAGUUUUGGUCUUUCUUUUUUGAGAUUGUUGUGCUAUCUUAGCUCCAUUAAAUUCUGAAACUGCCACAACCACAAG